rnacentral:rRNA from 1 species
AAAAAACGCCCGGGGGCUUCGGCCUGGUUAUUCAUAACCCUUUGUUGUCCGACUCUGUUGCCUCCGGGGCGACCCUGCCUUCGGGCGGGGGCUCCGGGUGGACACUUCAAACUCUUGCGUAACUUUGCAGUCUGAGUAAACUUAAUUAAUAAAUUAAAACUUUUAACAACGGAUCUCUUGGUUCUGGCAUCGAUGAAGAACGCAGCGAAAUGCGAUAAGUAAUGUGAAUUGCAGAAUUCAGUGAAUCAUCGAAUCUUUGAACGCACAUUGCGCCCCCUGGUAUUCCGGGGGGCAUGCCUGUUCGAGCGUCAUUUCACCACUCAAGCCUCGCUUGGUAUUGGGCAACGCGGUCCGCCGCGUGCCUCAAAUCGUCCGGCUGGGUCUUCUGUCCCCUAAGCGUUGUGGAAACUAUUCGCUAAAGGGUGUUCGGGAGGCUACGCCGUAAAACAACCCCAUUUCUAAGGUUGACCUCGGAUCAGGUAGGGAUACCCGCUGAACUUAAGCAUAU